rnacentral:tRNA from 1 species
AAUACUUUAUACGAGGCUUGUAAUUGGGAAAAAAAUCCGAAAAUUGUAUUUGAUAUUAAUAAAUUUUGUA